GAGGGUAUAGCUCAGUGGUAGAGGGCGUGCUUUGCAGGCUCAAAGUCCUGGAUUCGAUCACCAGUACCUCCA
rnacentral:tRNA from 1 species